CGGCGCUCUCUGAUUGGCCGGAGGCUCAGGGCCGACCCCUCCAGCGCGGGGCGGAGCCAGUAGCGGGCGGCGCCCUCCGAUUGGCCGGAGGCUCAGGGCCGACCCCUCCCGCGCGGGGCGGAGCCAG